rnacentral:rRNA from 1 species
UGGGGAAUUUUGGACAAUGGGCGAAAGCCUGAUCCAGCAAUGCCGCGUGUGUGAAGAAGGCCUUCGGGUUGUAAAGCACUUUUGUCCGGAAAGAAAUCCUUGGCUCUAAUACAGUCGGGGGAUGACGGUACCGGAAGAAUAAGCACCGGCUAACUACGUGCCAGCAGCCGCGGUAAUACGUAGGGUGCAAGCGUUAAUCGGAAUUACUGGGCGUAAAGCGUGCGCAGGCGGUUUGCUAAGACCGAUGUGAAAUCCCCGGGCUCAACCUGGGAACUGCAUUGGUGACUGGCAGGCUAGAGUAUGGCAGAGGGGGGUAGAAUUCCACGUGUAGCAGUGAAAAUGCGUAGAGAUGUGGAGGAAUACCGAUGGCGAAAGGCAGCCCCCUGGGCCAAAUACUGACGCUCAUGCACGAAAGCGUGGGGAGCAAACAGGAUUAGAUACCCUGGUAGUCCACGCCCUAAACGAUGUCAACUAGUUGUUGGGGAUUCAUUUCCUUAGUAACGUAGCUAACGCGUGAAGUUGACCGCCUGGGGAGUACGGUCG